rnacentral:lncRNA from 1 species
UGUAUGAAGAUGUUUUAUUAUUUUUUUUCUUAUUUUUUUUGUGUUUAUUAUUUGCUUUUUUAAUUUAUAACAUUUUAAAAACUAGAAAUAAGGGACAGGCCUUCAUGGGUAUUUUGUUCUGCUUUAACAAAAUAAGAAACUGAAAAAAUAAUAACUAAAAAAUAAUAAGUAAAAAUAAAAUAAAUUUGUCCGCUUUUGUUUGACACGAUUGUGUUUUUUUGCACCAAUUGUGUUUGUUUUUGGUAUCCACCACUUCUGUUUUUUGGGGUAUCCGCUGAUUUGUUUUAUGACUACCCAUUCAUCUUUGCUCCCCAUUCAUCUCUACCCCCCCAUUCAUCUCUCUCUGUAAGGCAUAAUGAAUAGUGAUAAACUAAGGAUGAGCAUAUCUAAUAUAAUAUUGAAUAAUAAUAUAAUUUUAAAAAAUGGAGAUGAAAAAACCAACAGAGAACGUAUUUUUAAUAAUUAUGACUUAAUAGUUAGCAUUUUAAAAAAUAAAUUUGUUCAGUACAGACGUUUAAAAAAAAAUGACUUAGAUCGUGUAGUCAUGAGUGCUAUAGAAACAAUUUUUCAAAAUAAAAAAAAACUUAAAAUAAAUAAGAAUAAGCAAGACAAAAAAAAAUAUACAAGUGAAGGUUGUAUACAUAGUGACUAUACAAAAGAAACUGGUAUAAAUAAAAAUGUAGCCAGUGAUAUAAUAAAUGAAAAUUCUAAUUUAACAAACAUUACAAACAUUACAAACUUUACAAGUAUUACAAAAAAUACUCAACAAAAUAGUACAAAUAAUAAAUAUAUAAAUGUAGUUGAAAUAGAAGAUGAUGUAGUAGUAUCCCCCUUAAAAAAACAUAUCACAGAAAAAAAACUACUUUUAAGUGAAAAAUGUAAAAAAAUUAUACAAAACAAUAACAAUAUAAAUGGUAAUAAUGUAUGUAUUAAAGAAACAAACAAAAUGAAAAAAAAAAAAAAAAAAAUAAAUAAUAAUAAUAAUAAUAAUAAUGAAAUUGAAAGUAGUGCAACACCAAUUAUACAAAAAAAAAAAAAAAAAUCAAUUUUAAAUUUAGUAAUUGAAAAAAUGAAAACAGAUAUGAUUAAAUUAAGAGAAAAAGAGAAAGAAACAAAUGAUAUGGAUAAUAUGGAUAAUAUUUUAUCAGAUAUUAAACAAAAUAUAAAUCCAAAUAUAAAUUUAACUACUUAUAAAGGUAUCAGUAAUAUAAAAAAAGAAAUAUUUUAUAGUAUAAUUUAUCCAUAUAAAUUUAAACAUAAUAAUAAUUAUUCAAAUACUAUAAUUAAUAUAAACGGUUGGAACGGUUCUGGUAAAACUACUUUGGCAUACGCCAUAGCAGGUGAAUGUGGUUGUGCUUUUUUUUAUAUACCAUUACCACAAUAUAUAAAACAUUUAUCUUAUGAAA